AUUUCACUUUCACUUCAGCUCCAACACGAUGCACAACAUCGGCUGUGGAAAGAUCUUUUUAAAUACUCUCUCCUUGGAUGUUAUUUUUCUUUUUAAAAUCAUCACUACUAAGCUGUAGAUGUUGGCAUUUCGUUGUGUUGGAUUAUAAUCAGCUUGGAUCCUGCGGGCUGAUCGACACCAAACAGCUGCUGGAAAUUUAAAGCAACUGCAGAUGAAAUUGGGGCCAAAGUAAAAGUGAAACCAUCCGGAUUCUUCAACGGUCUGAAUCUUUGUUCGUUUCGCCGAGGCUCUGUGGCUUGGAUGGAUAUUAAUUCACUAAAACCGAAGAAUGUGAUGGAUUUAAGGACGGCCGUCUGUAAAGCAUCAGAUCGCUGGGAGAAAAAAGGAAGAAGAGGAGACGGAGACGGAUUGUGGGCAUCUUGUAUCUGGCAUUAUGCACAAUCAGCAGAAAUAACAGACCUUAUAGACAUAUAGAAAGUUUCACAUGUUUUUUUGUGGUUCUUGUUGUUCAUUGUGGAUUUUUGUGUCACGAUUAUUUAGCCCAAGUAUUCAUGUAUUUUAAACUUUUUCCACAUUGUGUCUCUGCACAGAUUGUAGCAUAAAAUGCCUCAUAAUUGUGAAAUGGAAGGAAUAUAGUUCAUUGUUUUGAUUUUUUGUUGUUGUUGUUCUCACUUAAAUGUCAGUGUCAAAUUUAUUUAGUUAUUUAUUUAUUGCACUUUUAGAAACAGGUUUAAAACUGCACCAAAGUGCUGUACAAAAACCAUAACACAAUAGGAUAAGUUGAUGAAAAGAGAGAAAAAAUAAAUAAAAUAAGAGUAAUAAGUAAACCAAAGAUAAAAGAUCAGAACAGAAAGGUGACAGUAUCAGGCCUCAAUUAAAUGCCAACAAUUUGAUUUAUGUUCAAAUAGCCCAUUCUGUUCUCAGCCAGGUGUGGCCAGCUUUUGUUCCUUUGUGUCCUGCUUUCCGUUCCGUUCGCAGUUCUGUAUCUAUCAAUAGAUCUAAUUCUAUGUUAUAUAAGUUGACCUGGUAUUUUAAUAAAGGACUUCGCCCUCAUUGGAACUGAUUCAUGUCAAGCUUCACCCUUGUUCUUUAAUUGGUAAAUGAUUGAACUGAUUACUCAUUUACUCUACUACAAAUAAAAUGCUUCUGACUUUUAUGAAGGUGCAAAAUUCAAAGUGUGAUCUACGUCACGUACCGCCAUUUAUUUCUUACACAAUGGCUACUGCAGCAGUUAAUAAUUUUUCAUUAAAUGUUUGUCAAGCUGUCACAGCAACACAUUUAAGAUAAAGUUUUUCUUUAUCUUAAAAUAUGUAUAGCAAAUAAAAGAUGUUAAAACA